CCUCUACUGAUAAACUGACGCACUGCUCAGGACAUGAGAUUUCCUAGUCAGUUCUCUAGAUAAACAAAGAAAUAGCUAAAUGAAAAUGACUCUAAGAAUACUCCACGAACAAAAGCGGAGCUCACCAAUAUCACUGGAAGGGAAGGAAGUCCUAACUCGUAGCCUGCUCGCCUGCAAAUCCGGUUCCUACGUUGUACCGCAGACCAACGUAGGUUCCCAAAAGAGAAUGUCAGUAUCAUCCAAUGUACUCAGUGAGUUUCAACAGCAGGGGGAGAAACUUUAAUAACAUAUACAUUACGAGUAAAGGUUCGAAAUGCAUGUAAAACAUAAAGCUUAUAAGAAUAAUUCUAAAAUAAUUGCAUAAUAGCAAUUUAUGAAUAUUCUAAAAGAAAUUCUUUUUUUUUUCUUUCUUUAAAAAAAAUACUUCACUUUAUACUUUGGGAGUUCCAACUAUCCUGACUCAAUUCUGUCUCAGUCACCGUGUGAUCGGCACGGGUUCGAUCCCAACCUGAUCGAAUAGGCCCAAUCCACGAGGUGUCACUCGCUUCAUGAUUCUCAGCGCUCAUGUAUCAUACCUUAGUAUGGCUAAGUAAAUUCUCAGCAACGAGACCCUCGGCUCGUAUGCUCCCUACUUUGGCACAAGUAGUUUCAGGAAGUCAACGCCUUGGUCAGGACCCUCGGCCUGGACGAUGACCCCUUCUCAGAAUAACGGAUACUCCCCAAAAAUCUUUUCUAUCUAAAACUUCUUCCUUGUGACUUUUUCAAGUCUAAAUCUUUUCUUUAUAGAACAUUAUGUACAUGCUCAUAUUGGUGCCCUUAAAUGUAAAGCAAGACAUAAGAAUGAAAUAAACAUAUAAAAAUAUUUCUAAAGACUCUUUCUUCUUCAUAAUCUUCAACAUGAAAAUAGCAUAUAAGAAUAACACAAAAAUCUGAAAAUUUAAGCACAUAUAGCAUAAUAGAUCAUCUAAACUUUUGCUAGAACAAUUCUAAAUUAAUGGGUACUCACUCGCUCUAAUUAAAUAAAGAUAAACUCUUUUAAGCAAUUCAUCAAACACCUUGUAUGUGUGCUUUUGUGAGUUAAACCACUUUAGUAAAGGGUUAUGUCAACUCACCUCAAAACUUCUCGAGCCAAUACGUAGACUCCAAUCCAAUUUAUAUCCGUCAAACAAUUGAUUCUACAACAACCAGUGUAUUUUAAUUAAUUUUCAAGUACUACACCUAAUUAUGAACUUUAUUGAUGAUAUAGAGGAAGAAGGGAAUUAGCUAUUCAAUCUUACCUGUUACUACUGUAGGGUAAUUGAUAAUAGGGAUUUUACAUACCUGAGUUCAAGAAUUAGUGACUUGUAAAGAAACCUAAACUUCGCGUUGCCUGCGGGAGUACUGAGCAACAAGACUUUGUCUUACGAUUCUGCGUUUGUGCGUGAACGAGGGCCCUUUUUUUAACUUAACG
rnacentral:lncRNA from 1 species